rnacentral:rRNA from 1 species
AUUGAACGCUGGCGGCAGGCCUAACACAUGCAAGUCGAACGAGCGGCGGACGGGUGAGUAAUGUCUGGGAAACUGCCUGAUGGAGGGGGAUAACUACUGGAAACGGUAGCUAAUACCGCAUACCAUCAGAUGUGCCCAGAUGGGAUUAGCUUGUGGGUGGGGUAAUGGCUCACCUAGGCGACGAUCCCUAGCUGGUCUGAGAGGAUGACAAGCCAAACUGGAACUGAGACACGGUCCAGACUCCUACGGGAGGCAGCAGUGGGGAAUAUUGCACAAUGGGCGCAAGCCUGAUGCAGCCAUGCCGCGUGUGUGAAGAAGGCCUUCGGGUUGUAAAGUACUUUCAGCGGGGAGGCGUUACUCGCAGAAGAAGCACCGGCUAACUCCGUGCCAGCAGCCGCGGUAAUAC